rnacentral:rRNA from 1 species
GACGAACGCUGGCGGCGUGCUUAACACAUGCAAGUCGAACGGAAAGGCCCUGCUUUUGUGGGGUGCUCGAGUGGCGAACGGGUGAGUAACACGUGAGUAACCUGCCCUUGACUUUGGGAUAACUUCAGGAAACUGGGGCUAAUACCGGAUAGGAGCUCCUGCUGCAUGGUGGGGGUUGGAAAGUUUCGGCGGUUGGGGAUGGACUCGCGGCUUAUCAGCUUGUUGGUGGGGUAGUGGCUUACCAAGGCUUUGACGGGUAGCCGGCCUGAGAGGGUGACCGGCCACAUUGGGACUGAGAUACGGCCAAGACUCCUACGGGAGGCAGCAGUGGGGAAUAUUGCACAAUGGGCGGAAGCCUGAUGCAGCAAUGCCGCGUGCGGGAUGACGGCCUUCGGGUUGUAAACCGCUUUCGCCUGUGACGAAGCGUGAGUGACGGUAAUGGGUAAAGAAGCACCGGCUAACUACGUG